rnacentral:ncRNA from 1 species
UACGAGCUCUCGUACAGUGAAACUGCGAAUGGCUCAUUAAAUCAGUUAUGGUUCAUUUGAUCGUACAGUGUACUUGGAUAACUGUGGUAAUUCUAGAGCUAAUACAUGCGAGAAGCGCCGACCUCGCGGGAGGCGUGCAUUUAUCAGACCAAAAACCGGCCGCGUCUUCGGGCGCGUUCGCCUUGGUGACUCUGGAUAACUUUGCGGAUCGCACGGUCUAGCACCGGCGACGGAUCAUUCAAGUGUCUGCCCUAUCAACUUUCGUCGGUACGGUAUUUGCCUACCGAGGUUCUUACGGGUGACGGGGAAUCAGGGUUCGAUUCCGGAGAGGGAGCCUGAGAAACGGCUACCACAUCCAAGGAAGGCAGCAGGCGCGCAAAUUACCCAUUCCCGACGCGGGGAGGUAGUGACGAAAAAUAACAAUGCAGGACUCGUUCGAGGCCCUGUAAUUGGAAUGAGUACACUUUAAAAGCUUUAACGAGUAUCCAUUGGAGGGCAAGUCUGGUGCCAGCAGCCGCGGUAAUUCCAGCUCCAAAAGUAUAUAUUUAAGUUGUUGCGGUUAAAAAGCUCGUAGUUGGAUUUUGGGCGCAGGCGGCCGGUCCGUCGCAAGGCGUGUACUGGACGUCCUGGCCUUCCCUCCGGUUCUCCGCCGGUGCUCUUGACUGAGUGUCGGCGGCGGCCGGAACGUUUACUUUGAAAAAAUUAGAGUGUUCAAAGCAGGCUCUCGAGCCUGGAUAAUGGUGCA